UACGUAGGGUGCAAGCGUUGUUCGGAAUUACUGGGCGUAAAGCGCGCGUAGGCGGAUUGGAAAGUCGAUUGUGAAAUCCCUGGGCUCAACCUGGGAAUUGCAGUCGAAACUCCCCAAUCUUGAGUGCCUGAGAGGAUGGCGGAAUUCCCGGUGUAGUAGUGAAAUACGUAGAUAUCGGGAAGAACACCUGAGGCGAAGGCGGCUAUCUGGCGGUGCACUGACGCUGAGGCGCGAAAGCGUGGGGAGCAAACAGG
rnacentral:rRNA from 1 species